rnacentral:rRNA from 1 species
UCAUCUCCGGGGGUAGAGCACUGUUUCGGCAAGGGGGUCAUCCCGACUUACCAACCCGAUGCAAACUGCGAAUACCGGAGAAUGUUAUCACGGGAGACACACGGCGGGUGCUAACGUCCGUCGUGAAGAGGGAAACAACCCAGACCGCCAGCUAAGGUCCCAAAGUCAUGGUUAAGUGGGAAACGAUGUGGGAAGGCCCAGACAGCCAGGAUGUUGGCUUAGAAGCAGCCAUCAUUUAAAGAAAGCGUAAUAGCUCACUGGUCGAGUCGGCCUGCGCGGAAGAUGUAACGGGGCUAAACCAUGCACCGAAGCUGCGGCAGCGACACUGUGUGUUGUUGGGUAGGGGAGCGUUCUGUAAGCCUGUGAAGGUGUACUGUGAGGUAUGCUGGAGGUAUCAGAAGUGCGAAUGCUGACAUAAGUAACGAUAAAGCGGGUGAAAAGCCCGCUCGCCGGAAGACCAAGGGUUCCUGUCCAACGUUAAUCGGGGCAGGGUGAGUCGACCCCUAAGGCGAGGCCGAAAGGCGUAGUCGAUGGGAAACAGGUUAAUAUUCCUGUACUUGGUGUUACUGCGAAGGGGGGACGGAGAAGGCUAUGUUGGCCGGGCGACGGUUGUCCCGGUUUAAGCGUGUAGGCUGGUUUUCCAGGCAAAUCCGGAAAAUCAAGGCUGAGGCGUGAUGACGAGGCACUACGGUGCUGAAGCAACAAAUGCCCUGCUUCCAGGAAAAGCCUCUAAGCAUCAGGUAACAUCAAAUCGUACCCCAAACCGACACAGGUGGUCAGGUAGAGAAUACCAAGGCGCUUGAGAGAACUCGGGUGAAGGAACUAGGCAAAAUGGUGCCGUAACUUCGGGAGAAGGCACGCUGAUAUGUAGGUGAAGUCCCUCGCGGAUGGAGCUGAAAUCAGUCGAAGAUACCAGCUGGCUGCAACUGUUUAUUAAAAACACAGCACUGUGCAAACACGAAAGUGGACGUAUACGGUGUGACGCCUGCCCGGUGCCGGAAGGUUAAUUGAUGGGGUCAGCGCAAGCGAAGCUCUUGAUCGAAGCCCCGGUAAACGGCGGCCGUAACUAUAACGGUCCUAAGGUAGCGAAAUUCCUUGUCGGGUAAGUUCCGACCUGCACGAAUGGCGUAAUGAUGGCCAGGCUGUCUCCACCCGAGACUCAGUGAAAUUGAACUCGCUGUGAAGAUGCAGUGUACCCGCGGCAAGACGGAAAGACCCCGUGAACCUUUACUAUAGCUUGACACUGAACAUUGAGCCUUGAUGUGUAGGAUAGGUGGGAGGCUUUGAAGUGUGGACGCCAGUCUGCAUGGAGCCGACCUUGAAAUACCACCCUUUAAUGUUUGAUGUUCUAACGUGGACCCGUGAUCCGGGUUGCGGACAGUGUCUGGUGGGUAGUUUGACUGGGGCGGUCUCCUCCUAAAGAGUAACGGAGGAGCACGAAGGUUGGCUAAUCCUGGUCGGACAUCAGGAGGUUAGUGCAAUGGCAUAAGCCAGCUUGACUGCGAGCGUGACGGCGCGAGCAGGUGCGAAAGCAGGUCAUAGUGAUCCGGUGGUUCUGAAUGGAAGGGCCAUCGCUCAACGGAUAAAAGGUACUCCGGGGAUAACAGGCUGAUACCGCCCAAGAGUUCAUAUCGACGGCGGUGUUUGGCACCUCGAUGUCGGCUCAUCACAUCCUGGGGCUGAAGUAGGUCCCAAGGGUAUGGCUGUUCGCCAUUUAAAGUGGUACGCGAGCUGGGUUUAGAACGUCGUGAGACAGUUCGGUCCCUAUCUGCCGUGGGCGCUGGAGAACUGAGGGGGGCUGCUCCUAGUACGAGAGGACCGGAGUGGACGCAUCACUGGUGUUCGGGUUGUCAUGCCAAUGGCACUGCCCGGUAGCUAAAUGCGGAAGAGAUAAGUGCUGAAAGCAUCUAAGCACGAAACUUGCCCCGAGAUGAGUUCUCCCUGACCCUUUAAGGGUCCUGAAGGAACGUUGAAGACGACGACGUUGAUAGGCCGGGUGUGUAAGCGCAGCGAUGCGUUGAGCUAACCGGUACUAAUGAACCGUGAGGCUUAACCUU